UGAAGACACAGAGUGUGCAGCCUUUCACAGUCCAUGCAUAUCUUUCACAAAUAUAUAUAUAUUUUAACUUAAUGAUUCAACUCAAGUUAUAACCGAAAACAUGCGCAUUGAAAAAAUAAACUUGACAUGGACUCUGAUUCCACUGUUUCUGGCAGGUGUUUUCUGCAAUACAUGUAAAGUGAUAUAUCAGCAGCAGCGUAUCUGUUCAGUGAAAGGCUCUUCCGUUAUCAUCCCUUGCUCCUUUUACUAUCCUGAACACCUGAGAGUGAAGGGAUUCUGGUGGGGUCAUGUCAAGACUAAUCAUUCCAAAGGAACUUUCAUAUAUGGCAGGAACUUUAAAACAGUCCCCAUGAGGUUCAAUUAUAUUGGUGACAAUCGACACAAUUGUUCUUUGAAAAUACACCCAGUGAAGGAAAAUGAUGCAGGACAAUAUAUCUUCAUGUUUACAACUGACUCCAAAAGCUUCAAAUCGACUGGUACACUUGGUUCAACAUUAAAGGUUGUUGAUUUGAACGUCUCGGUGACAAAUCCUGAUGGAAACAGAACAAUGCAGGGCGACUCUUUGAAUCUCACCUGCAAGAACAGCUGUGACGGCGGUAACCUUUCAUCUGCCUUCACUUGGUUGAAGAACGGAGAAAACAUAAAUGAUGGAUCUAUUCUUUAUCUAAGCAACGUGACUUCCAAAAACUCUGGAAAAUACACUUGUUCUCUAAAAACACACGCAGGAGCCACUUCAGAAGCCAUACAUAUUGAUG